CAAACAGGGAAGAAAAUCAAAAGUUUCAGUCAAGUACAUUUCAGUGCUAAUGAUUUCCAUCAAUGAAGGCGGUUAAUUAUUAAAAACUGCAAUGUCAAACAGCCACUGUCAAAAAUCAUGAUUUCAUUUAAUAUAUUGAUUCAGCAUGGUACACCCUUUUUCAGAGGAUCAUUACAGCACCAAUUACUGAACAAAAUGGAUGAAGCUUGCUUAUAAUAUCAUGUACUUUCUACAGGACAGAUUACAAUGUGCAAUUUUUCUCUGAAAACUCACCAAGGAGUGACACCACAAGGUAUCAGGAAGAGGCGCUCAAAGCACACAGCGGACACUCAGCAGAGGAAACGGAAAACGAAGUUCUCUGAAGCUGAACUGGUCCGAAACCAUAACUUCAGUUGAGCAACUCCCACCCCUGCGACAGCGCAUAUGCGCCUCCAGCUAGUCGCUCGGGAGGGCUGCGGGGCCGGACCGCCGCGAGGACGCUCAGCCAGCGGCAGCCACGAAGUUAAAACCAACCGGAGACGGGGGGAGGCGGAGACCCACACGGUUUCGGGAGACCCUGCGACUCACCCAGCCCAGCCCGCCACCCUCCGGGGUCCCUCUCGCUGAGGCGCUGCCCGAGCCCCGAGGCUGCGGCCCGGCGGGGACGUUCACGGCAGGCUCAGUCGGGCCGGAGCGAGGCUGCGGCCAGCACCGUCUCCGCGAGCCCCCGGCAGCGGC